rnacentral:lncRNA from 1 species
AUGGAGGAGAGGCCCACGGGGAGACCUGCUUCUGCACCGCUGCAUCCAUCAGUAGAUAUCUGCGUACCAGGCCCUGUCCUCCGUGGUCUCAGAACAGGAACCCUCUUGAGAGCCCUCCUUCCACCUCGUGAAGAAAGAAACUUCCCAAGUCUACUGGUCCACACUGAGUGCGCACGGCGCCUCCCAGCCACCGGCCUCUCCUCAGCCUGCUGCUUCCGGUUUGCUCUGUGUGAGCGAGCAGUGAACAGACAGAAGAACCAGUCAUCGCACACGCACGCCUUGUUCACAAGGUCUGCAAUCGGGAACCCAGGAAAUAUGGAGGAGGGGUAGUAAGUCACUGGUAAGACCUACUUUGUUUCCACACUUUUGUUUUUGUGUCAAUGCUGGAUCCUACCCUGCCUUUCCUGCUGGAGGUGGGCAGUCAAUGGUGUCCAUCCUAAGGCUAUAGUCACACUGGUGGCUCCCAUUUUCCACGACCCUCUGUGCACCCCAAGUCAUGGUUUUCUCUGCCUAGCCCAUGGGUUUGAGGUGCAUCCAUGCUUGAGUCCCCUCUCCUCUGUCCUUACACCCCAGGCCACGGCAAACCAGCCGGGCCAAGCCAUACCCUGGCUCACGUUGGUAGAUGAGGAAAGCAAAGAGACUACUGAGUUCCAUGCUGAAUGAAGGCAGCUAGUGUGGUGGGAGUAGGUCAAGCAGUCUACUGGAUUGAAUGCCAGCACUUUCAUACCCAGCCCCCUCUGGAACCCAAAUACACCCAGCGCGGCUUCUCACCACGAUGGGUGGGGCUCCCUCAUCCUUCCUAGUCUGAGUUGAAACUUCUCAGGGAGUCACGUCCAGUCCCUGCCCUCUCCACAAACGCCUGCCAUGGCCAUCUCCCACCCAGUCACUGUGGUAGGGCAACACCAGAAACCCUAUAUAGUACAGCUGCCCUGAAGUUGCUCUGAGUCUUAGUCCCAAACAACCCCUGCCCAAAAUGGCUCCUGAUUAAACCCUCUUAAAUAUGUUGGGCGCUGGGCUUCUCCCCAGCUCCAGCCUUCUCUGGGGAAGGAGUCACCUUCAGAGUAAAAUACCAGAUCGUUUCUACAAUUUUUAGUAGCCAUGGGCUUCUCUUGGGGCCAGCACUGGCAGCCAGUCUGCUUUCUCUCCCUGAAGCCACUGUCCCCCUCUGGGUUUACCCAGAGAAGCAGGUCUCCCUGGAGUGCAGAGUGAGCCUUCCAGACUACCUCGUUCCUUUCUCUCUAGUCUGCUGUGACUCCAGCUUCCCUGCAGUUUUGUCUUCCUCCCUGCUUCCUUCCUGUUCCUGGAGAUUCACUUUUUCUCUCUCUUCAUAGGUGUCUAGACUCCAGAUCCUGGAGAAGGCAUACUUUUCUUCUCCGCUAUCUUCCAUCCAUUUUUUUAUUUGUUUCAAGAGUGUUCAUACUUUGUAUUUUCUUCAUAACAAAAUCUUAGAUUAUGCUGACAAUUCAGUGAUCUUGAUGUUGGCCUUUAUUGACUUCCUUUUUCCAUUCAAUUUGAAGUCUUCGUGGUUCUUGGUUUCAUUUUUCCUUGAAACCUGGUCAUUUUCAUGGGGCUUAUACUAUAUAGUAAACCUAAAUAAAAUGUGAUUCAUGAUAGAAUUAUCAUUUUGAUGUAGUUAUUCCCUUAUUUCACUUAAAAAUUAUUUCUUCUUUGAUUUAUUUGAAUUAUUUCAAUAUCAUAUGAUUUAAAACAUCACCUGAGCAUUUAUCUCUUUUCUUGACAUUCCUAGGCAACAUAGUCCUCCACUGAGUCUUCGUCAAACUCGUGCUUUUCUUUAAAUAUGCCCUCAGCCAGUGAUGUUAUAGGAUUAAAAUUUUUUGUUUACUAUGUGUUUCUUCCACUAACUCUAGGACAAGAGGACCUGUGUCUGUUCACCUUGAUAGCCCCAGAACUAGUACUUGGGGUAAAAUAGGCCCUUAUAUAUGGUACUUAAGUGAAUAAUAAAUGCAUGAAUAGCCGGGCGUGGUGGAGCACACCUGUAAUCCCAGCACUCAGAAGGCUGAGGCUCUCUGAGUUGGAGACCAGCCUGGGCUACACAGUGAGUUCCAGGUCAGUCUCAACUACAUAGUGAGACCCUGUCUCAAACAAAGAAACAAACAAAAAUGCAUGAAUAGACAAAUGAGACAUAAUCCUGCCUUCUACAUUAAAUGUAAGUUAUUUAAAUAAUAAAAUG